rnacentral:rRNA from 1 species
UAGGGAAUAUUGGACAAUGGGUGAGAGCCUGAUCCAGCCAUGCCGCGUGCAGGAAGAAGGCGUUAUGCGUUGUAAACUGCUUUUGCCAGGGGAUAAAAUGACCGUGCGCGGUUAAUUGAAGGUACCUGGUGAAUAAGCCACGGCUAACUACGUGCCAGCAGCCGCGGUAAUACGAAGGGAGCAAGCGUUGUUCGGAAUUACUGGGCGUAAAGGGCGCGUAGGCGGUUUAACAAGUCAGGCGUGAAAGCCCCGGGCUCAACCCGGGAAUAGCGUUUGAGACUGUUUUUCUAAGAGUUCGGAAGAGGUAAGUGGAAUUCCCAAUGUAGCAGUGAAAUGCGUAGAUAUUGGGAAGAACACCAGUGGCGAAGGCGGCUUACUGGUCCGAGUACUGACGCUGAGGCGCGAAAGCGUGGGGAGCAAACAGGAUUAGGAUACCCUGUAGUCCCUGAGCGGGCUGGCAAGGCG